AAUAUAUAUAAAAGGCCAAUUUGUAUAAAAAUUCUACAAGUUUUGAAUUUUUGUAAAACUGAGUCAUUUUUUUCGAUUUUACAGAUUCAUUAUAAAUUUUCAAUAAAUUUACCAAAAUAUUCUUAUACCGUUUUCUCUCUCAUUUUUUUUUGCUUUUUUUUUUCCUCACUGAAGAAAUCCGUGGAGAUGAAGGCGAAAAUGGGCCCCUGCCUCUGCCCCUCACGCCCUCGCCCUCGCCCUUGCCUGCGUACGCUCCCGCCCUCCUCGCCUCCGACCCCACCGAAGCCGUACGACGACCUUUUUUUUUUCCUCUCCCACCCUUCUCCGCCCGCCGUCCCUAUCGCCGCCAUCGGCGACAAAGAGUAAGUACUUUUUGAGACCCAAAAGCACGUCGGUGAGGAAGAGGGAGAAAAAUAGUUACAUUCCAGCGGGAGCGAUGGUUGCGAUAGAGGGUAAAGGAGUGAUCGUGACAAAAAAAAUUAUAGAGAUAAAAAAAAUAAAAAUAAAAAUAAAAAAUAUUUUUUUCUACAAGAAUGACCAAAAAUUAUAAAAGGAGAAAAAAAAAAUUGCACUGUUAAAAUAAAAUUACAUUAUUUAAAAAAAAAAAUCUUUAUAUGAAUGUUAAACUUUUUGAAACAAAAAUUACACAAUUUGGGAUAAGAGUUACAUUUUUUAGGCGAACGUUGCACUCACUACAAGAAAAGAUAGUAUUAGCGGCAAAAAUAAGGUAGCGAUAAAAUAUGUUGCCACUAUAUAGUUAGGCCAAUUUGCAUAAAAAAUUCACUUAUUUUGAGCUUUUGCAAAACCGGACCACCUUUUUCGUUUUUGCAAAUUCGGUCCGCUUUUUCAGCAAACUGACCAAAAUACCCUUAUUACUUUUUCUCUUUCCUCUUUCUCU
rnacentral:lncRNA from 1 species